UAGGUAAUCUUCCGCAAUGGGCGAAAGCCUGACGGAGCAACGCCGCGUGAGUGAUGAAGGUCUUCGGAUCGUAAAACUCUGUUAUUAGGGAAGAACAAAUGUGUAAGUAACUAUGCACGUCUUGACGGUACUUAAUCAGAAAGCCACGGCUAACUACGUGCCAGCAGCUGCGGUAAUACGUAGGUGGCAAGCGUUAUCCGGAAUUAUUGGGCGUAAAGCGCGCGUAGGCGGUUUUUUAAGUCUGAUGUGAAAGCCCACGGCUCAACCGUGGAGGGUCAUCGGACACUGUAGAACUUGUGUGCAGAAGAGGAGAGUAGAAUUCCAUGUGUAGCGGUGAAAUGCGCAGAGCUAUGGAGGAAGAACAGUAGCGGAGGCGACUUUCUGGUCUGUAACUGCCGCUGAUGUGCGAAAGCGUGGGGUUCAAACAGG
rnacentral:rRNA from 1 species